rnacentral:lncRNA from 1 species
UUUGUUUGGUUUGAUUGCUGCAAAUCAUGCUUCCAUAUGCAACAGUGCCACCAAUUCUUCACCAUGAUGGAGGUGUAGCCACCAUCUUAGAAAUGUAAGUUAUGGACUUAAUUCAUUUCUAUGAAAUUAGUUUAUAAGAUAAGGAUUGUCUUCCCCUUAUUUACACUAUUUUGACCAUAUCUUUAAUUGUAACAUCUCCAACACUUCUGAGCCGACAUCUUUCUGCUAUGCAUCUUUGGUAAGUUUGAUAAAUCUAGAUCAUGUUUAUAUACCCAAAGACGUGCGUAUUUCUUCACCUUAGAAUGAAAUCCUCUCUCGCCCCUUAUAUCAAAAUUCAAUUUCAAGUCACCAACAUGAGGUGUGCCCCCGCAAGGACAUGGUGAAAAAAAUAGUGGUCUAUCAAAAUACCAUAGCCAAAGGUGAUCUGAUUCAUCUGUGAUUGGAUCUUCAUUGAGAACCCCUGGAAUAUAACAGGUGAAAUUUGGUUUUUGAGGACUACCCAUCUCUGAAACUGUUUUCCUUCCUUGACCUACGGCAAAUAAAGCACAACAUAGAACGCCAAUGAAAUUUUUGUCAAUCUUGAUUGGAGAUGAGUCUAUGCUUAUUAAACUGUUCACACGCUGAUUGUUGAACAAACUUGGUAAUUCACUUCCAGGAAAGAUACUUUCAAUUCUUUUACUCCACUCACGGUCUUCAAGAGGUUUGUAUAGGACGUAGGCCUGGUACCACAAACACAGUUAUAUAUAAGUUAGUUCCCGGUUCCUACACACAAAAAAAGAGAGUGAAAGAGAUGGGGGUGAGGAGGGGAUGGAAGGAGAGUGCACAUGAAUAAUUUGUAUCAUCCAUAAAAAAAACUCAUCUUAGUGCAGCGUUCUCUCUCAACUAAUUCUGGGCAAUUGAAAAUAUGUAAUCCUACCCCUACUUCAUCAGAUGAUGACCACCAAGUUAUAGAUGACGGUUCCUCAUAGGAUGCACAUGUUUGAUUUAGCCCUUCAGGACCGUAACAUUUUGACCACAAAUCAGUUCGUGAAGGGAGCUUAGGCAAGUAUUUCAAUUGCUUGCAAUGAUAUAUGUUUAAAUGUAACAAUUUGGAAAACUCUUUGAGGCUGGGCAGAGUAGCAAUAUUGUUUUGUUAGCACCAGCAGUGGCAAAGGAGUAACUCGAGAGGAACGCACCAGCAACAACGAAAGUACAACUCGAGAGGAACGCCCGCGAAGGACCUUCACGCGACCCCGAUACUUGGAAAGCUACGUAUAAGGGUUUGGCACGUAGAGCAUGCAUGGCGUUAGCUUUCCAUUAGUUAGUUGUAACUGCAUGAGCCAGUAGUUAAAGUUGUUAGAAGUUCGUUAAUACUCACUAUAGCAUGUAUAAAAGCUGGUAGCAUGUACGACUAACGGAGAGAAUCAAUUUUCAAUAAAAGUUAGUCACCCAGGAGGGACCUUGACCUCGAACCAAGGCUUUUCUUCUUCUUCCUCACGUUAGUCUCAUACCAGCACAUAACAACUGGUUUGACCUGCUACUAUGGCAGAACACAGUACAUGCCGCACCACCACUGAUCGCCUUGAAGAGGCCAUCACUGCUCUUUCUGAAAGGCACUCCGAUUUAGCCAACAAGUUUGAAGCCAUGUGCGAACAUCUCUCGCACCUAACCUCCACCACUCCAGCAACAAACCAGCCUCCUUCACCUCCACGGUUGUCGGUCAAGCUCGACGUGCCUCGGUUUGACGGCCAUGAUCCAUUAGGGUGGAUCUUCAAAAUUACACAGUUUUUUGACUACCAGGGAACCCCAGAAGAAGAUCUAAUUAUGGUGUCUUCCUUCUACCUCGAUGGACCCGCUCUCAGUUGGUUUCAGUGGAUGUUCGGGAACGGAUUCAUCACUUCCUGGCCAGCUCUUCUCCAGGCAAUCGAAGCUCGAUUCGCCCCUUCAUUUUACGAUGAUCCAUAAGGAACAUUGUUCAAGCUUGUUCAACGUGGGUCUGUGGCGGAGUAUCUCACUGAAUUUGAAAGGUUAGCAAAUCGAAUCACCGAUCUUUCACCUUCAAUUCUAUUAAGUUGUUUUAUCUCCAGCCUCAACCCGAAAAUACGCCGGGAGGUGCAAGCUUUUCAACCCAUCUCCUUACCACAAGCUACGGCCCUCGCUCGUCUUCAAGAAGACAAGUUACUGGACCGCAAGAAACACACCUCCAAAAGUUCGUUUGGCUCCCCUCCACCUCCAAAUCCACCUGCCUCAUAUCCAAACACUCACCACACACCUCGCCCGAAAACCCCAUUUAUCCAAAGAACCCAAGAAACACACCUCCAAAAGACCAUUCCUCUCUUCAACCCCACAUCAGCCUUCACGCACUGGCCGGUGUCUCCGCCUCUGAUACUUUUCGCCUGUAUGGACUGAUCAAUAGUGCUCGUAUAACCAUAUUGGUUGAUAGUGGAAGCACUCAUAACUUUGUUCAACCACGUGUCGCGAAAUUCCUCAACUUACCCAUGGAGGAUACGAUGGCACUUAGAGUGAUGGUGGGCAAUGGUUCAUUUCAGCAUUGCGAGCAACUGUGCCCUGAUACAAAGGUGCUUAUUCAAGGUCAUACUUUCACUGUAACAUUGUGUGUGCUGCCCUUGAGUGGGGCAGAUGUCAUAGUAAGAGUGAAAUGACUUCGCACCUUAGGGCCAGUCAUUACUGACUAUUCCUCCUUCACCAUGCAAUUCACUUACAUGGGCCAGCCCGUUAACUUGCAUGCUGAUGUGCAAGCUGGCAAUACCCCAGCGUCUGCUAACUAGGUUAAGCGCAUGAUCUCUACUAACUCCACCUCAGGCCUGUUUCAUAUUUCGCUUUUACCUAUUUCCCAAGCUGAACCCACAGAUCCUCUUCACCCCAUUCCCACCAUUAACGAACUAUUACUCAAAUACCAGUCCAUAUUUCACCAACCCUCGUCUUUACCCCCACCACAACAACACGAUCAUCAUAUCAACCUCCUUCUUACAGCUAACCUCGUUAAUGUCAGACCUUACAGAUACCCUCACUUUCAGAAGACGGAGAUUGAAAAGCAGGUAUCGGAGUUACUUGAUUUCGGCCUUAUCCAGCCAAGCCGUAGUCCAUUUUCUUCUCUGGUAUUGUUGGUGAAGAAGAAAGAUGGGACGUGGCGUAUGUGUGUCGACUAUAGGGCACUCAAUUCAAUCACGGUAAGGGAUCGCUUUCCGAUUCCAACAAUCGAAGAACUUCUCAAUAAGCUGGGGAAUGCCUCUUGGUUCUCAAAGCUUGACUUACGGCAAGGCUUCCAUCAGAUCUUAAUGGCAGACGAAGACAUUUCAAAGACAGCCUUUCGGACACACCAUGGCCACUACGAGUACCGGGUUAUGCCGUUCGGACUCUGCAACAUGCUGUCAACAUUCCAGGCGGCCAUGAACAACCUGCUCCGCCCUUUCCUACGCAAAUUCACGGUAGUCUUUUUUGAUGAUAUCUUAAUCUAUAGUGCCACGCUCAGGGAUCACGUUCGUCACUUGGACUGUGUUUUAAGCUCUCUUUCGAAGGCUAGAUAUUACCUCAAGUGCUCAUAGUGCCUAUUUGGGCAACGCCAGCUCGAUUAGUUGGGUCACGUCGUCUCCGGUAGUGGUGUAUGACCUGAUCCCUCUAAAGUCCAAGCCAUCAUCGACUGGGCCACGCCACGAUCCCAAAAGGACCUUCGAGCCUUUCUGGGUCUCACGGGUUUUUACAGGAAGUUUGUGAAGGGAUAUGCAGCCAUCAUGGCGCCUCUAACUAAGUUACUCUGCAAGGAUGCCUUUCACUGGGUAUCGGAGUCUCAAACUGCCUUCGAGAAACUGAAAACAACCAUGACUGCCGCACCGGUGCUGGCUCUUCUCAAUUUCGUGAUUCCUUUCGCCCUGGAAACAAGUGCAUCCAGCACAGUUAUGGGCCCUGUCCUUCAUCAACAGGGACACCCUAUAGCGUACUUCAGUAAACCCUUCUGCUUUCAUCUUCAACAAGCUUAUGCAUAUGUUAUGGAGUUGCAUGCCAUUGUCGCUGCAGUUUGCAAAUGCCGGAAAUAUCUACUUGGCCAUAAAUUUACGAUAUUCACUGAUCAUUGUAGUCUUCGAGAGCUCAUGUCUCAAAUAAUAUAGACCCCGAAACAACAAUUCUAUCUAGCCAAGCUGCAGGGAUAUGAUUACGAUAUCCAGUAUAAGACCAGAGUUUCAAAUACAGUCGUGGAUUCCCUCUUGCACCGGGAUACCUCACCUCCAAGCCAUUAUUUUGUGCUUUUGAUCCCUCAUCUUGAUUUCAUGACUCAGUUGAAUGGAACAUUAUUAGCUAGUUCAGAGUUUCAGAAGCAACGAGAAGCCAUAUUAUCUCACCCGGAAGCCUACCCUAGUUUCUCCAUCUCAGACGAUCUUAUCAUCUUCAAGGGCACAAUCUGGCUCGACUCCCAGAAUCCAUUCAUUCCAACCUUGUUGCAUGAAUAUCACGUGACACCUCUGGGCGGCCACUUUGGAGUAAAAAAGACAUUACAUCGCCUCUGCCAUAACUUCCAAUGGGUUAACAUGAUCAAGGAUAUUAAGGCAUUUGUUCACAGGUGUAAUGUGUGCUAGCAGAUUAAACACAUUACGCGUAAAAAUGCUGGGUUACUUCAACCCAUUCUGAUACCUACCGGAGUUUGGGAAGAUCUUUCCAUGGAUUUUGUCACUCAACAUCCAAGCUCCCAUGGGUUCACUGUUGUCCUCAUCUUGGUUGAUAGGUUCUCUAAGGGAGUUCAUCUUGGCGCCCUAUCCACUCAGUUCACAGCAUUCAAGGUGGCCAAUCUAUUCAUGGAUACUGUGUGCAAACUCCACGGUUUUCCCCGUAGUAUCAUCUCGGACCGGGAUCCAAUCUUCAUCAGCUCAUUUUGGAGGGAGUUGUUCAAGAUGAGUGGUACGACUCUACGUAUGAGUACCGCCUACCAUCCAUAAGCGGAUGGUCAGAUGGAGGUCCUAAACUGCACCCUUGAGUAGUAUCUCCGGUCCUUCGUUCACCAUUAACCCAUAGAAUGGUACAAGUUUUUAGCAUUGGCAGAGUGGUCAUAUAACACAUCGCAACAUUCGAGUACUGAGCUCACCCCUUAUGAAGUGAUCUAUGGCAAACCUCCUCCUUCCAUUCCAAGUUAUCUCCGUGGCUCCUCCCGCAAUGAGGUAGUUGAUACCAUGCUUAGCACGAGGGAAGAGACUUACGCAACUCUUAGACGUAAACUCCUCAAGGCACAAGAUACCAUGAAACAUUUUGCGGAUAAGAUGCGUCGAGAUGCUCAAUAUGAGGUUGGCCAGUUGGUGUAUGUUAGACUUCGUCCAUAUCGACAACUUUCACUCUAUUCCCAAGCACCUAACAAGCUCGCUAAGAGUUACUGUGGACCAUUUCGUGUAUUGUAAUGCGUUAACAGUGUCGUAUAUCGCCUACAACUGCCCGAAGGGUCCAAGAUUCACCCUGUAUUUCACUGUUCAUUGUUGCGGCCUCACCAUGGUCCCAUUGAUCUACAAGCAACCCCCUUCAACCAAAUGCACUUCGUAAUAAUCCCAUAUUGGAGCCUUUAGCCAUUCUCGACUCACGAAUGGACCGUUCAACUCAAUCGCCCACAAAGUUCGUAUUGGUGCAAUGGGUUGGCCUGGCCACGGAAGAUUCUACCUGGGAAAAAUGGGAAGAUGCCUGUAGUUCCCAUCACCUUGAGGACAAGGUGAUUUUCCCAGGGGAGGAUAUUGUUAGCACCAGCAGUGGCGAAGGAGUAACUCGAGAGGAACGCACCAGUAACAACAAAAGUGCAACACAAGAGGAACGCCCGCGAAGGACCAUCACGCGACCCCGAUACUUGGAAAGCUACGUAUAAGGGUUUGGCACGUAAGGCAUGCAUGGUGUUAGCUUUUCGUUAGUUAGUUGUAACUGCACGAGCCAGUAGUUAGAGUUGUUAGAAGUUCAUUAAUACUCACUGUAGCAUGUACGAAUAAUGGAGAGAAUCAGUUUUCAAUAAAAGUUAGUCACCCAAGAGGGACCUUGACCUCGAACCGAGACUUUUCUUCUUCUUCCUCAUGUUAGUCUCAUACCAGUGCAUAACAUGUUUCCCUUUAAAUUUAGCUUCUCCAAGCAUCAUAAAUUUCCAAUAGCAUCAGGGAUUUGAAGUAAAUUGCAUAAACUAAGAUCUAGUUGAUGCAUAGAUUGGAAAAUAGGCGAGGAAGGAAACAAACAACUAACAAAAUCAUCAUGUGCUUUCAAAUAGGAAGAUGAAGAUUGGGAAUGAAUGGGAGCUUCACCUAUUUCAAGCUUCUUCAAAUUCUCGACAUCCCUUGAUUCAUCCAACAACUGAAUGUUAUAAAGUUUUGAAUAGCUAGAGAGACUCAGAAAUUCAAAAGAAAUGUGGCCUAAUAAGCUGUUGGGUAAACUUACUAGAUUUAUGCAGUCUUUCAGAUUCAAAACACUAAGUUUUCUUAGAUGAUCAAUGGACGGAUCAAUCCACCUCAGUUGCAUACAUCCUUCGAGAUAUAGAAUUUCAAGACUAAAGUCCUCUCCAAAGUGUGGUAACUUAGUAAGACUUUUGCAGUCUUUCAAGUUCACAAAAAUAAGUUUCCUUAGAAUACCAAUGGAUGGAUCGAUAUGCUUAAUUUGUAUACACCCUUCCAGAUAUAAACUCUCAAGAUUUAGGGAUUCACCUAAAUUUCCCAUCUCAAAUAGAUUUUUGGAGUGAGAGAGAUUCAAACGUCUCAAAUUGGGUAGAUGCUACAAUGAAGGGCAAAUAGUAGGUGUAGGUGAUCAAAUUAGUAACUAAUCAAAGAAAAAGGAAAUGACAUGUGGGUUUUUUCUUUUAAAUCAUUCAUUUAAAAAAAUGGAAAUAGAAUAAUUAUAAAUUAUACUACCUUUGUGCCUUCCCACAAUUGUUUAAUGCUAUUGCAUCUCAAGAUCAACUCAACAAGUUUGUCUGGCUGAAAACUUGGUGGCAAACAAUCAAAAGGAUAUUCAAACCAAUUAAGAUAUCCUAAUUCAUCGGAGAGAUAAUUGAGGCUUCCUGAAAAUUUCACGAACUGAAGUGUGAGCAACUUAAGGUGACUCAUUUUUGAUAGAGCAUCGACCCUCAUCAUUGUUUGAGGAAAAUGAUAUUCGAUAACUAUGGCUUCAAGAUAUACUUUCGCCUACAACAUUGCAAAAGGGAAAGAAAAUGUUAGAUCUUUUGAAGUACUUACAAAUUAUAGAAAAAUAACAACUCAAGUUGUUUUACCUUAUUGUGAGAUAAAACUUUGUAGAGAUCUUUGCGAUGCCAUAAUCUACUCCAUUUUCUUGGAUCCUUACUUUACUUUUCUUGAGCAAUACACCUUCCCAAGUCUCUCAACAAGCCAUGCAUUUCAAUACAACCUUCAUGAAUGACUAUGAAUGAUUUGUCAACAAGAACUUGUAGGCCAUAUUCUGGAUAAAGUCCACGAAAAUCUAGAAUUUCCUUUACAUAUUGCUCUUUAUAACCAUCAUAGAAAAAGCAAGCAAUAACUAAAAAUACUUCCUUGUCUAUAUCAUCCAACUCAUUAAAACUUAUUCGCAACACAUCUGUAAUAUUUCUAUUUUCACUAGUAAAAUAUAUACAUUUAACAUCGUCAGGUUAACAUCGGUUUUGGACAAAACCGAUGUUAACACAAAUGCGGUGGCAUACUUGUAAAUAAGACGAGUUUAUUAACAUCAGUUUUGUCAAAACCGAUGUUAACAUAGUCUCGUUAACAUCGGUUUUUUGAAAAACUGAUGUUAACAUAGUUCGUUUACAUCAGUUUUGAUAAAACCGAUGUUAACAUAGUCUCGUUAACAUCGGUUUUUUGAAAAACUGAUGUUAACAUAGUCUCAUUUACAUCAGUUUUGAUAAAACCGAUGUUACCUAGGUCAUGUUAACAUCGGUUUUUUCAAAACCAAUGUUACGUAGUUGAUGUUAACAUCGGUUUUGAUAAAACCGAUGUUAACGAGAAUAUGUUAACAUCGGUUUUUCAAAAAACCAAUGUUAACAUGAGCUAGGUAACAUCGGCUUUUUUUAGAAAACCGAUGUUGUGUUUUUACUAAAAUUAAACUACAGACCCUUUUCACCUCCCGCGCUCAUUCUCGCAAACUUACCCUCGUCACUGCCCGUGCUCAUUCUCGCAAACUUACCCCCGUCACUGCCAUUGCUCCUGACCCACCUUGGAAAGCCACCCUCUGCACUGCCAUUGUCCUUGACCCAUCAUGCGGAGUCUCGCAAAGCCACCCUGGUCGUGCUCUGGUCGAAAAGCCACCCUCUUCGCUGCACUUUGGUAAGUUUUCUUGCUUCGUGUCUACUAUGUCUACUGUGUCUGCUGACGUUGCUUUCCUUGCAGCCAUUGGCACCAAAGCACUUUUUGCUCCUCUUCUCGUGUCUGCUGUGUCUUGGUAAGUUUUGCUUUUGGCUGCCAUUAUUUUAACUUCCCUUAGUGUUUUGUUUGUACUUGUUAUUGUGUUUUUGCUUGUAUUGGGGUGUCUAAUCCCGUUAUAUUUUUAGUGCUUGAGUUUGAUAAUGUAUUUGGUUGAAUACAUUAAUGUGUUAUCACCCAGACUUAGAAACUUACACUUUCACAAUGUUAGUAAUUUUCUAUAACUCUAGAAGCUAAUAGGGUUUAGUUAAGAAAAGCAUAAACAGAAAGAGAAGGAUGUAGGUUCAUUUACUAUGUAGUGUACUUGUAAGGGAGUGGUUAUGGUGAUGUUCUGUUGCGUUAACAUUGUAGUCAUCUUCUAUUUUUGGUUAGUUUUAGACAAAUGAUGCUCCUCUGCCAUAAGGUUUCUAAUUUAAAUUCUGAGCAAUUGAAUUUGCUUCGAUAAUUCCUAAUCAUGUUCAUCCCUGUGCCUUUGUACAUCUUCAAGUUGUUUGGACUUAAUCUCUAGUUCUUGUGACAUAAUUUAUAUUGCCUUUUUAUUUUGAAUCAAUUUGGUUCAAAAGUUGUGUCAGUUUUGAUUCAUUCUGAUUUUUAAUAAGCCUGAGCAUUGGAGAUGUACAAAGGCUGGAUUCCUUUGGUUCUUGAAGUUUGAUGGCAGCGGAAUGGAGAAGGAGAAAGAUGAUUGGAGAUGCCACUUCAAGGAGAAGAUGAGUCUAGAAGAAGCUCACCACUAUAGGAAGUCAUGGAUAAGAGCUUGAAGGAAGGAGAAGAUGAAUGAAGGGAGAGGGAGAGAAGGAGCACGGAAUUUUGUGUCUCAAAAGAGGUUUGAACAUUGAAGUUUAAUUCACAAAUGAUCAAAGUUCCAAAAAAUGCACACACAUGGCCUAUAUUUAUAGCCUAAAGUGUCACACAAAAUUGGAAGGAAAUUUGAAUUUAUAUUCAAAUUUCACUUGAAUUUGAAAUUGAAAUUGUGGAGCCAAAUUUUGGAGCCAAAAUUUCACUAAUCAUGAUUAGUGAAUUUUAGCUAUGGCUCAGCCCAUUAAUCCAAGAUCAAGUCCAAGAUUCUCCACUAAGUGUGCUUAGGUGUCAUGAGUCAUGUAAAGCAUGAAGGACAUGCACACAGUGUGACUAUAUGAUGUGACAAUGGGGUGUAGCAAGCAAAUAAUCACCUCCCCCUCUAAAAUUUAAUUGGAUUGGACUUCUCCCAAUUCAAUUAAAUUUAUUUCCGACCACACACAUCAAGUAUUCACUUAAUGCAUGUAAAAUUACAAAACUACCCCUAAUACAAAAACUAGUCUAGGUACCCUAAAAUAUAAGGGCUGAAAAAUCUAGAUUUCUAGGGUACCUUACCUAUAUUAUGGAGCCUUAAAUACAAGGUCCAAAAAUAAUGAAACCUUAAUCUAAUAUGUACAAACAUAAGCGGGCUCAUACUUAGCCCAAGGGACCCGAAAUCUACCCUAAGACUCAUGAGAACCCUAGGGUCUUCUCUUGCAUCUCUGGCCCAAUCUUCUUGGAGUUUUCUAUCCAAUGCCCUUGUGGGGUACGAUUGCAUCAUUCCUUCCCCCUUGAAAAGGAUUUGACCUCAAAUUCCGAGGUUCUUGAAACUCUGGGCUUUUUUCCUCAACACAUGUAAAAAGAACAAAAACAUAUGUAUUAGUGGUGAUUGGUAUGUUGAAGUAAGGUAAGGUCUAAAAACCCAUUUCCUGGGCAUCUUCCUAUGAAGGAACAUGGUUCCUCAGCAACUCAGUGAGUGGUGCUACAAGUAUAGAAAAAUAUGGGACAAACCUUUUGUAAAAGUUUGUUAAGUCAUAGAAGCGCCAAAUUUUUCUUAUACUUGGUGGAGUAGGCCACUCAAAAAUGAUCUUUAUUCUCUUAGGGUUCAUGGGAACCCCUUGAUCACUAUUUAAAAAAUUAAGAAAAGUAAUGCAAUAAAACAUACCUUUUUCUGUAUUUUUAUGUUGAUUAUUCCUACCAAAAAGUAUGACAAACCUAAGGUGUUCCAUAUGAGUACCUAAGUUUGUAUUGAAACUAAAUAUAAGAACAAACCUACCUAAUGAGUCCCUAUGUACACAAAUCAUGAAGAUGUUGGGUGCACAAGUGAUUUUACAAAAGAGUGUUACACCACUCAAAACAUUCAUCAUACCACCUAUUUUAGGGAUUUGGUGCCUUAUAAUACCUAUUUUGGGCACCAACAAAGCACAAGGAUUUAAGCUCUUGCAAACCAAACCCUCAUCCAACCCUCAUUCAUCAUACUUGAGGAAAAAACUCAAGCCUAAGAGGUGUGGCAAUGCUAACAAGUGUCUUUUUACAAAGGAGAAAAUGUGGAGGUUGUCUAAGAGGGGAAAUUUCUUUAAUAUUUGUCUUUAUUUUAAAAUGCCUUUCCUUCUUAGCUAACCUCUUGGAGGAGACACUUACCUCCUUACACUCCGCCUUAACCAUUAAAGGUUAUCCUUCUUCUUGGGGGUAGAUCUCUUCACUAGAUUCUUCCCCUUUUGCUUCUUCACUUUCACUAGAGGAAGGUGAAGUAGUAGCCUCAUCUUGGCUACUAUAAAUGUCUUGGCCCCUCAUAAUCAUGGUUUUCUUAGUGGGGCAUUGAGAAGUAAUGUGUCCUCUUCUAAGACAUUUAAAGCACUUCAUGGAGCUAGUCUUCUUAUGCAUACUAGCCUUAAGGGGUUGCUUUUCUAUUGUCUUCCCCUUAUCAUCUUUGGGCUUAGAAGGUGUCACCCCUAAGAUGCCUUGACCUUGGUCUUUCUUUGGAUAAGAGUGAGAGCCAUAAGAUUUUGAAGUAGACUUCCUUUUAAGUUGUUGCUCUACCCUUAUUUCCCAAUCUAAGUUAGCUUCUACAUUGUCCUUCCCAUGGAAGUAUGGGAGGUUAAUGUUAGCCUCUUGAGGCUUUCUUUCCUUUUCUCUCCUAUGGGAGUGAGGUCUAAGAUGUGACCUAUGUCUUCCUUCAUAAUAGUCACAAAGUUCUUCACUUAGGCUCUUCCAAGAGUUAUGACUACUAUAGGAGGCAUGUUUUUCUUUUCUUAACUCUUUUAGUAUUCUCUUUCUUUCUUCUUCCUUUAUUUGUUCCCUCUCAUCUUGAUUUAUUUUUACCCUCUCUUUUCCUUUUUCUUUUCUUUCCAUAACUUGAGGGAACUCAACUCAUCGAAGAUUCUAGAUAGAGGGUCCUUAUGACUAGUACCCUCGCCAUUAACACUAGAUGAAUGAUGACUCAUGUUGGUUCCUAAGUUGUGGUUCUUUCUUGUUGGGGGUUUGUAAAAAAGGUAAAAGCUAAGGUUCCAAAGGAACUCAAGAUAAGCGUGAUAAGAAAGAAGAAAGUACUAUGCAAUAACAAGAUAAACUAGGUGUGGCUAGUAAAGAAAAUAAACUAUGAAAGUAAGCAAGAAAUUAAAGUGAAAGAAAUGUAAACUAGGCAGAUCCUAAGAGUGUUUGGAUGACCUCAUUUAAGGUUCCCAACAAAACACUCAUUAUCCUAAGGAAAAUUGCCUACAAUUAUUACACACAAAUGGAAGUAGGGUGACCUAUCGGAGACUCCCAACUUACUUCUAAUGAAAGGCCUUUUUGUUACAAAAUUUGAAAGCAAUGAAGGUAAGUAAAUUCUCAAUUAAAAAAAUUACAAAAAGGUCCUUAAUUUUGGUGGUUGUUCUCUCUUUGGUGAUUCACUCAAUAUGGAGGGUUUCUUAGUCCAGUAUCUCUUAAGGUGGUAGGCUCCUUACUUCUUGACUCAAAUUCUUCAAGGGAUGGCACCAAUCCUCCUUUCCAAUUCCCUAUAUGGCAACUCACAAACAAGGAAAUAAAGAGACAAGCAAUAACCAAAGACCAAAAAAAUGAAAUGAAAGCUAAACCAAUAGAGUUUUAACAAGACAAAUUUUCAAGGAUUAUUCAACAAUUAAAGCAAUGAAAAACACACAAAAUCAAGCUUGGACUCAAAGAGAAACCUAGAAUGGCUCUAGAGUAUAGUAGAAAAACUAUAUAAAAAAAAGACUCAAGAAACCUCUAGUUUUGACACUUGUUUUCACAAUAAUUUUCAUUGAAAUUUCAGAACUAAGAUUGGUAUAAAAUAGGCACCAAUUAUAAAACAAAUUUUGAGCCAAAACAACAAGCACACUUCCCUUUCACUUUUUUUUUCCUGGACACUGAUUUUUCUACCAACUUGUAUGAUUUUUAUUAUUUUUUACUUUUAUCCAAAUCACUUGUUUCUUUUUUUAUAAUUUUGAUACAGAUGUCUAGAAAAUUUAGUAAACAAUUCAGUUCAAACUUCGUAGUGACCAAUUCCCAGUAAUUUAUACAAGUUUGUAUGUUCAAGCAGCCAACACCAACGAUUUCAACCUAGAAAUCAAGAGUAGUGUUUAUGUUUCUUAAGGCUUGGAUAGUUACAAUUUGUGCUUGCUUAUGCUCAAUUAUCUUGAAUAACACAAUUCAAGAGAGCUUAAGACUUAUUUUGAUUCAUAACCCAGCACCAUAACUCAACUUGAUCAUAGGCAUCAUGUAGGAAACUUAGAAAACAAAAAAAAGUUCAACAACAAGAUUACUUCUAGGAAUUGAUUUAGAACAUGUUAGGAACUAAAUAACAUGCAUGAAUUAGACUCAAAAUUCAAAAGAUAGGCUAAGAAUGACAAGAAUACAUGAACAAAUGUAUCUAGAAUUCAAUCAACAAAAUAAAAAUUCAACACAAACAUAGAACAUAAUGUGACAAUUAUUAUGACUAAACAUGACUCUAAGACAACAUGGAUUAAGUGAUUUACACUUAGAUUUUUGUAUUUUUUUUCUAAUCAAUAUUUUGGAAGAAAAUUUAGAUCUAAAAGUUUAGCACAAGAAUAUUAUGACUGAAAAAUGAUAGAACCUAAAAUCAACACAAAAACAUGAUUCAAGAGUAGAUCUAUAAAAUUUGAACCAUAGAAAUGCAAGAACAAGUGUAGAUCUAAGAUUUAAUUAGUUUAUUUUUUGAAUCUACUCUAAACAGAAUCAAACCACAAGAAAAUGGAGGAUAUACAUGGAGAAUAAGAUGAAUAACAAGAAUUUAAAGUGAAUUGAUCGAACAAAAAGAUAGAGGAAGCAAAAGAAUAUCACCUAGAUAAAGAUAUGCUCUUGAUACCACAUGAUGUAGCUCCAUGUGGAGCUUGUAGGCCUUGGAUCUUCUUCAUCAAUGGAUUCCUUUUCUUCUUGAAGUUUGAUGGCAGCGGAAUGUAGAAGCAAAAAGAUGAUUGGAGACGCCACUUCAAGGAGAAGAUGAGUCUAGAAGAAGCUCACCACCAUAGGAAGCCAAGGAUAAGAGCUUGAAGGAAGGAGAAGAUGAAUGAAGGGAGAGGUAGAGAAGGAGCACGAAUUUUUGUGCCUCAAAAGAGGUCUGAAAUUUGAAGCUUAAUUCUCAAAUUAUCAAAGUUCCAAAAAAACGCACACACAUGGUCUCUAUUUAUAGUCUAAGUGUCACAUAAAAUUGGAGGGAAAUUUGAAUUUCUAUUCAAAUUUCACUUGAAUUUGAAAUUGAAUUUGUGGAGCAAAAUUUCACUAAUUAUGAUUAGUAAAUUUUAGCUAUGGCUCAGCUCACUAAUCCAAGAUUAAGUCCAAGAUUCUCCACUAAGUGUGCUUAGGUGUCAUGAGGCAUGUAAAACAUGAAGGACAUGCACAAAGUGUGACUAUAUGAUGGGGCAAUGAGGUGUAGUAAGCAAAUAAUCACCUCCCGCUCUAAAAUUUAAUUGGAUUGGGCUUCUCCCAAUUCAAUAAAUUUAUUUCCAACCACACACAUCAAAUAUUCACUUAAUGCAUGUGAAAUUACAAAAUUACCCCUAAUAUAAAAACUAGUCUAGGUGCCCUAAAAUACAAGGGCUGAAAAAUCCUACAUUUCUAGGGUACCUUACCUAUAUUAUGGAGCCCUAAAUACAAGGCUAAAAAAUAAUGAAACCUUAAUCUAAUAUGUACAAAGAUAAGCAAGCUCAUACUUAGCCCAUGGGCCCGAAAUCUACCCUAAGGCUCAUGAGAAUCCUAGGGCCUUCUCUUGCAUCUCUAGCCCAAUCUUCUUGGAGUCUUCUAUCCAAUGCCCUUGCGGGGUAGGAUUUCAUUACAACACAUACAGGUGAGCUUGUUUCAAAUCUUGUAUAGUUGGAGUGAUAACAUGCAGUCCUCUUAAACCCUUACCGCCCACUCUUUCAUCAUGUUGAGACUUGGGAAGUCCAACAGGUUUAGCUUUUUCAAUGUACUCUGAACAAAAUUCAAUGGAUUCUUCUACAAUGUACCUUUCAACAAUAGAUGCUUUUGGACGAUGUAGAUUCUUGGUAUACCCUUUUAAGAUCUUCAUGUAUCGCUUAACCGGGUACAUCCACCACAAAUAAACAGGACUAGUCUAUUUGAUUUCUCUGACCAGAUGAACAAUUAAGUGAGCCAUGAUGUCAAAGAAAGCAAGAGAAAAAUACAUCUCCAACUGACACAAUAUAAUAGCAGCCUCAUUUUCCAGCUCAUUUAACAUCACAGGAUCAAGGAUUUUGCUACAUAUGGCAUUGAAGGAAAAGCACAGCCGAGUUAUGGCUAACCUGACUUCGUUAGGCAAAAUGUUAAGAAAAUUGCAUUGUUCUAAUUUUCCUAUAAGAUAUUAUGUAGUGGUUACAUGUCACCCAUACUUGAUGUCAUACCCAAGGUUAGGAAGUAUUUGAAGGAAACCAUUGUCACCAAACAAUGAUCUAUCCAUGAUGGGGCUGAUUUUGGGUUUGGAAUUUACAAUGAUCACCAUUAUCAUUUAGGGUACUUCUUUUAUGGAAUUGUAGUGCUUGCUAAGAUUGAUUUGGUGUGGGGUUGGAAGUAUAAGCCUCAAGCCUAUUCACUAAUGGCAAAUUUUAUGACCUUGAUCAGAAGAUCGAACUCAAAUUACACAAGACUAAGGUGUUUUGACCUUUAUAAACUGCACUCAUGGGCUAGAGGGUUAACUGAGUUUGGAGAUGGAAGAAAUCAGCAAAGUACUAGUGGAGCUGUUAAUGCAUAUUAUGUUGCUGCCUUGAUGGGUCAAGUGUAUGGUCACCCGAAUCUUCUUGCUAUUGGAUCAACAGUCACAUCAUUGGAAAUUCUAAGUGGAACAAAUGUGGUGGCAUGUGAAAGAGGGAGUGCAAUAUGAUGAAGAAUUUGGAAAAGAGAACAAGGUAGUUGGUGUCUAAGAGCUUCCCUAAUAUUUCUGGAUUUAUCUUUCUUUGGACUAAUAAGUUUUACUUCUUAUAUUUAUGUAUUUUUAUCACUUCUUUUAUACACUUUUAUUUUUGUUGCUAACUAAAAGAACAAGAAUAUUAAAUGAAGGAUUGGAAGGAUUCCAAUUCAUUUGUUCAUGCAAUCAGCAAUGGGCAUCAUUCCAAUUAUUACUAGUAAUUAUCAACUAGUUGAUAGAGUUGGUAGAGUUGGUAACUUUUGGUUAGCAGUUAAUAAAUAAACUACUAAUUAUUAGCUAGUUGAUAGAGUUGGUUACUUUUGGUUAGCAGUUAAUCAAUAAACUCCCUAUAACUCAUGGUAGACCUCUUCAUUUGCUUCUUGUUGUUGUAUUUUUCUCUAAUAAAAUUGUCCAAUUAUUUGUUUAUCGUUGGAAUGGAUCAUAAAAUUAUAAUUGUGGCCAUUAUUUACCCUUUAUUUUUUCUUACAUUUCUGUGUUUAGAGGAAAAUUAUAAAGAAACGAGUAACAUAGUUAAUGGUAUAUCAAUAAACUAAUUAAUAUCUUGUAACUGAGUGGUGAUUAUCUUGUAACUUCACAACCUGAGACAGAAAAGGAGUGGGGCCAUCAUGUGAUAUGAUGCACCGGCAUGGUAGUAGCACUAUAGCGCGUGAUUAACUACUCUGGUAUAUAGGGAGUGAGUUGGCUGUGGCUGGUAAUCAGUUUUGUAUUGUUGAAGAUUAUAAUUCAUGAUUGCAAUGGUUACAAUUGCGAAGGAAGAUCAAUGAAAUGGAGAAGCAAACAACGUUGGAUUAUUUGGAUAAGAAACUGAGGAUUGCUAAAUUGAUAUGGAGAAAGAGGCACAUGCUUCUCUAGAGGAAACUACAGCUAUGUGCAACUGCAAAGUAGUGAGACACUGGCUAAAGUUAUAUUGGCUGUCAAGAAGGCUGAACUACCAAAUCUUGAUAGUACAAACUAGGUGGUGGUUGUUGGUGUAUGCUGAAAAAUAUCUUAAAUCAAGGCUAGCAGUCCAGAAGCAAAUAUCCAGAUGGCUUUUAUCAGUAUUUAAGGUAGCAGUAGCCAUUGGUUUCAUUGUCUAUGAAACAAAAUCCUACACCUGGAACGGGAGAUGGAUUUAGAUAUAAAUAAAAUAAGAGGAAUGGAAAUAGAAAGUCUAGCAACAAUGUAAUUCAAUUUAUGAGGAAUGAAGUUUAGCAGCUACUUUUGGAAAUCCAGUGGAAGUUGUGUGGCACCUAGUUUAAAUAUUCUCUUUUGUUUUGCACCCACAUCUACAGAGUCAAACUGUGGUUGUUAGUUGUGAUCUAGGUGAUUUCCUUAGACGUCUUGCAGGGGGGUAAUAUUGACUGCAAUCUAGUAUUUCAUACUACUAAGUUUUCCUAAAAUAGUUCCAUUAAUAAGUCUACUAGUAAGAGUCCAUUUGGUAUUACCCCCUUGGCCUCACCAACUUGUUAAUCUUGUGACUUUUCCUUUUCCUUUUCCUUUUCCCUUGGCCUCACCAACUUGUAAGACAACAUUAGAGUUUUCGUGUAGAUUCAUUUCAUACGGAUGCUUAAAUAUAUCAAUCAAAUUAGUUGAAUCAGUAUAGCAAGAUUAAUGUUUCAAUAUAUCACAUAAUGACCAAAUUAAGAAUAACAAAUUGGAAGAUAUGACUUUCUCCCUUGUGACAUUAUGGCAAUCAUAAACUUUCAACAUAUUAAGUGUCUAUUAAACAAAUAGCAUAUUCCGCUUACAACCAAUCUCUUCCAUUAAGCAAUCAAUAUGAGAUACCAAAGUAUUUUGCCUAACAUGCUAGUUAAAACUGAUUUCUGUGGGAGACUACAUUACCAAACAAGAUAAACAACACAAGGAUAAAUAUAAAAAUUGACUUCAUAAGCAUAAAAUUUACAUGACCUAAAAUCAUAUCUUGUAAGAACAUAUACCUAAAAUUUACAUAGUAAAUGGCAUAGUCUGAGUGGUGAUUAUCUUGUAACUUCACAACCUGAGACAGAUAACUCCCUUGUCAACAAAGCAGCUGUUGGGUUAGUUAUUAAAAUGACUGAAAAAGCACCAACGGAUCCUUCAUAUCUAAUGGAAUGCGAUGCUUAUUGUUCACUGGUUUUUCCAACUAGGGAAUCCGAGUAACUCCACUAGUCUAGUUAUAGGUGGGUUAUUUUUUGCUGAGUCCAUGACUAUGCAUCCAACAAUUCUCUUUUUUUUUAGACUUGGUCCAAGCUGCUAUGUAUAUAUGUAUAUAUAUGGUUUUGAAACAGCUGAAACGGGCUUGGAUUAGUUGCAUGGUAUCAUCUUCUCUUGACACUAGAAAAGUAUGUACAUAUAUGUAUCAAAGGCUUGUAUGGUAACACAAACUUAUGUUGGUGUAAUUCCUAUUGCAAACACUAUUUGUUGGGAUACAAAGACAACUAAUGGGACUCAUAAUUUCAGGCCAUUCCUGAUAACUAACAUUUGGGGAUAUAGCUAUAGUCAUGGAUCAAAUAUUCGAGCAAUAUAACUUGCAGAAAUACCCAUAUUUUUUACAUUUCAUGGCUAAUAAAUAUUAAUUGUAUCAACUUCCAAGAUGAAACUUUUGGCAUCUUGAAAGCAAAUAAUCCUAGGCAAUGCAUGAAAAAACAAAAAACUAUUCUUUAUGAUUUAGCUGCAUUAACAACAAUUUAUAUAAUCACAAAUACCUAAACUACAUAAAUAUAUACCAUUAACUAUGUAGAUUUAUAGAUAAAUCACAUGGACCUACAUAAAUAUAUACCAUAAUCAUGUUUCAUUCAAACAAAAGAUAAAAACUAGCAGUUUUUGGUAGCUGUCUAACCUCUGAAACAAAAAUAUUUUAGGAGUGGUUACUUGUUGUGUCUCAAUAUGGUUUAGAUUGGAUUAUAACCCGAGCUCCUAAAGCAACCCUAUAGAGUUAAAAUCAAACUCAUCAAUCAAUGACUGAAAACUAUAAGGGGGUUGAAUAUAGCUCACCCACAAUUGACACAAACCAUUGACACCUUUCUUAAGGGGAUCUAAAUAAGUUUUCACAUGGCAUUAGGAAUAACAGAAAACAAGGUAUAUACAUGAAAAUAAACCCAGCGUACCAGGCCAGAAGCAAAAAUUUAAAUCAUCCAACACAAUGGUGCUCACCACUUUCUCAAUUCCUGAAAACGACAUCUGCAAAGCAAAAAAUGCAUUCUCAUUUUAUUUAUCCUUUCGAAAGCACAAGUCAAAGUAUUCAAAAUGAAAAAAAAACACAAUGAAGGACAUUAUUUAGGGAGUGAACCUACCGAAUCAACGAGGACAUGGAAGGAGUGGCUAGCGACCCAAGCAGAAGUUUCCCUCUCUGUGUUGUUUCUUUUGCAGCAAUGACAUGAACCACACACCCUUUUAGCGGUAAGGUGAGGAGGAGACGAUGGGAGAGAAACGUCUUUUUAGCCUGAGCUAUGGUGAAGGAGAAAGGGUCUGCAAGACAGAGCGCGCGAGGGCAAAAAUGAUUUCAGGUUAUAAUUUAUGGAUAACACAACUUCAGUUUUUUUAAAAAACCGAUGUUAACAUUAAUUCAUUAACAUCGGCUUUAUACAAAACCAAUGUUAACUAUUCUACGUUACAUCGAUUUUUGAAUAACUGAUGUUAAUGAAUUAAUGUUAACAUCGAGUUUUGGAAAAACUGAUGUUAACAUGAACUAAUUAACAUCGAUUUUUUGAAAAUCGAUGUUACUUAACUCAACUUAUUUGCGAAAAUGUCACCGCACUCUUGUUAACAUCGAUUUUUCAAAAAACCAAUGUUAACCUUGCGAUGUUAAUUCUACAAAUUCUAGCAGUGGAAGCUUCUUUGCAGAUUCUACGGAGCAUCUUCCACUUUCCAGUUAAAAUUAAGUUCCCACGAGUGCUUCAUGACCCAACAUCAAUCAAAUUAAAAUAUUUUAAAACAAUAUAAUAAUUAGUAUAUAUUAAAUUACUAAUUUAUAUUAAUUUAAAUUUGAAAUACAUUUAAUUAGUGCGUAAUUGUACUUGAUUUUAGACCAGGGUUGUGCCUACAAUUUUUUAGUCCUUAGACAAAUUUUAUAUUUUAAUUUAAAUUUAAUAUGAUUUUUCAAUUUCUAUAUCAUUCUUCUAAUUUUUUGAACUAUAAGUUUGUUCAUUAAAAUUUAAUAAUCAAGAAUUUCAACAUUUCAUUGUGAUAGUCCAUUUAACCAUUAUCUUGCAACAUAUAUUCAAUCUUUGAUUAAAUAUAAAAGAUUUCAUAUUUAAAAAACUUUUGUUUCAAAAUUAGAAAAAAAUGCAAGUAUUAUAAUAUUCUAUAAAUAUUACAUAUAUUAAAAGAAAAUUAUUUUUACUAUAGAUUAAUACUUCUAAUAGAGAAUUGAUUUCUCUUGUUAGUAUUUCUUUCGGCAUCUUCAAUUUAAGAAAAAAAAAGUUGAUCUCACAAUUUUUAUAAAAUUAAAUAUCUAUUUUUAUUCUAAUGCCAAUUUUUGUUUGAAUUUAAAACAAAUGUAAAUUAAUUUUUCAUAUAAAUUUUUAAAUGAAUUAUAAAACUUUUCAAAUCAUCUAAAAACAGUAUUUAUGUAUAUGUAUAUUUUUAAAUUGCAUAUAUUAUUAGCAAAGUAACGACAAAUAAUAUAAUUAAUAAAACUUAUCAUGUAAUUAUUUAAAUUAAAAUUAUUAUUUUUAUAUAAUUAUAUUUUAUUAGGUCAACGACUAUGCGUUUAACAUAAUUAAAUUUGUUAUUGAUAAUUAGGUCAAUUAACUUAGAUAUAUUGUAAAAUUCAAAUAUAUACAAAUGAUUCACAUUGCUUUUAAAUCAUUAGUUUUAAUUCAUAUUGUUUGUGAACUAUAUUUUAAUAACUAAAUUGAAAACAAAUUAUAUUAAUAUAUAUAUAUAUACAUAAUAAUUUAAUAAUAUUAAUAACUAAAUUUAAAACAAACAGAUGGUCACUUUUCCUUUUUAGGGCAUGGUUGUUUGUCCAUGCUGCUAUCUUGGCACCGGGAUGGUUGUUGCCUAUAGUCGUUAUGGUUCCAAGAUAUUUGUCAUAACCAUUACAACUUGCUAGCCAUACAUAACUAAAAUUACACAGAUCAUUUGACACAUAUACAUUCAGAAACUCAAAAUGAGUAUACAUCGAAGGAAAAGAAGGAACUUGAGUAGCAAUGAAACUUGUGAGUUAUGAAUGUGGAAGUGACCGAUUUCCCCAAUAUAUGAAUAAGCGCUUGGAUACGCAUUUCUGCAGGGACCCCAAAAAAUUCCUUUUCAUUUGUAUUGGCACAAAGAUGCUGAUAACAUGUCAUCUUGUAGUCCUUAUCAUUUGUCUUAAAACAGUCUACACAUCCAAAUCAAUAUAAUGGCAUGGCCUACUCUUUUCAACGAUGGUCAGAUUCUUUCCACCAAUCUCUACUUGUCGUUCAAAUGAAAGCCUUUCCAUAUUGAUCCUUUGCUUGUAGAUUGUAUAAUUUCUCAUGAUAUGCUGGAAGUUCGAGAGGCAUAAAAUAAAUGGCAGAUGGGCCAGUAGGGGUCAUUCUAUAUGCCUAGAUGCACAAAUUGAUCAUGCAUCAACUUGAUUAUAUUUUCCACUUUCAAGGUGUUUGACAGCAUCCUUUCACCUUUAAAUCCUUUUCCUUGCUUUCUUCCUUCAUUUUAUUCUGUGAUAAACACAUGAAAAUAAUUAGAGUAGAAGAGCUACCAUUUAUAAUUAAUGUUAACAUGGCAGUUAACGUGAGAGAAGAAUGUUAAAUAACAUACAAAUUAGAGUCUCAAUUAAAUUGGUCAAAUAGAGUUAACACAAGGAUUAGCUUGGAGUGAUAUGAUAUUCCUAAAUUUAGAAAUCAAAUAAUAUGCAAAAGGAAAUUAAAAAAUUAAAUUACAAGUAAGAAAUAUUUUCAUUGAUACGAUGCAUGAAUAAUAACGAGGAACAUGCAUGAGCAUUUCUUCUCACCUUAUUCAAACAAAGUCGAAUUUACUUUAACAGUAUAUUGUUGCAGCUUGUAAAGAGAGCAUUGGACAGCUGAUCCCUAAAUGUCAUGGAGAAUUGGAAUGCUAACGCUGCC